GGGGAACCGUGGCACCAGGGGGACGGCAACAACUGAGAAGAAACGAUGCAAGCAUUUCUGAAAGGCACACCUGUCAGUACCAAACCACAAUCGACCAAGGAACGGGGGAUAUCUUCCUCUGCAGGAAGCAGUGUAGAAUCCAAGAAAGUCAAACCAGUUCCUUGGGUGGAAAAAUACCGUCCGAAGUGCGUGGAUGAAGUUGCUUUCCAGGAAGAAGUGGUCGCAGUGCUGAAAAAGUCUUUAGAAGGAGCUGAUCUUCCUAAUCUCUUGUUCUAUGGGCCACCUGGAACUGGCAAAACAUCCACCAUUUUGGCAGCAGCUAGAGAGCUCUUUGGGCCUGCACUCUUUCGAUUAAGAGUCCUUGAGUUAAAUGCAUCUGAUGAACGUGGAAUACAAGUAGUCUGAGAGAAAGUGAAAAAUUUUGCUCAGUUAACUGUGUCUGGAAGUCGUUCAGAUGGGAAACCAUGUCCUUCCUUUAAGACUGUAAUUCUGGAUGAAGCAGAUUCUAUGACUUCAGCUGCUCGGCAGCUUUAAGACAAACCAUGGAAAAAGAGUCUAAAACAACCAGAUUCUGCCUCUUUUGUAACUAUGUCAGCCGAAUAAUUGAACCCCUCACUUCUAGACGUUCAAAAUUCUGCUUCACACCUCUGUCAGAUAAAAUUCAACAGAAGCGAUUAUUGGGUAUUGCUGAGAAGGAAAAUGUCAAACUUGGCGAUGA
rnacentral:lncRNA from 1 species